GGCCCCAUGGUCAAGUGGUUAAGACACCGCCCUUUCACGGCGGCCACCCGGGUUCGAAUCCCGGUGGGGUCACCA
rnacentral:tRNA from 1 species